rnacentral:misc_RNA from 1 species
GAAAGAAAGGAGAAGCUUGAAUACUGGAGAAUGGUACAGCAAAAACUGGAAGAGAAAAAGAAACAGAAGAAUGAACUCUUGCGAAAACAAAGUUCCAUGUGGAUUGAUGAAGGUCAUUUGGAAGCAACUAUGACUUCUAGUAUCGUCGUUUUGAGAGUACAAGGGCAAAUUCUAGUCUCUUUUGGGAGUAGUUCAUGUUUUUAAAUUGUUGAGUUGUUGUUGUUGUCCUCAUAUUGACAAUUUAAAAACAUGAAC